CUUCAUGUUAUCAAAGUAUUUCCUGUGACAUUCAUGUAAGAGUGAACUCCUUUAGGGUGUGAAAGUGGGUUUUUAUAGAUCAUUAACAAAUUGACAGAUCUGGAAAUAGAAAAAUAGAAAACUGAUGUGUUAGGAAGCAAUGCCAAUUUAAGAUCGAUCAAAAGUGACAAAGUAUUCCUGAAAACUUUAGAUGAAUUAAGGAGAAAGUAACUCAAUUUAUAAGCCAUUUUGCAAGAACAUAUCAAUUAUAUACCCUUGUACAUUGUCUAUAAAUUCUUUUGGUCUGGCUCCUGCUCUCACAGCCAUUGCAGUACAUUGAGCUCCAUAGAGACAGCGCCGGGGCAAGUGAGAGCCGGACGGGCACUGAGCGACUCUGUGCCUCGCGGAGGAAAAAUAAUUAAGCAUGGGCAAAGGAGAUCCUAAGAAGCCAAGAGGCAAAAUGUCAUCGUAUGCAUUCUUUGUGCAAACUUGCCGGGAGGAGCACAAGAAGAAGCACCCAGAUGCUUCCGUCAACUUCUCAGAUUUUUCUAAGAAGUUCUCAGAGAGGUGGAAGACGAUGUCUGCUAAAGAGAAAGGAAAGUUUGAAGACAUGGCAAAGGCGAACAACGCCCGUUAUGAAAGAGAAAUGAAAACUUAUAUCCCUCCUAAAGGGGAAACAAAAAAGAAGUUCAAGAAUCCCAAUGCACCCAAGAGGCCUCCUUCGGCCUUUUUCUUGUUUUGUUCUGAGUAUCGUCCAAAAGUCAAAGGAGAACAUCCUGGCCUAUCCAUUGGUGAUGUUGCAAAGAAACUGGGAGAGAUGUGGAAUAACACUGCUGCAGGUGACAAGCAGCCUUAUGAGAAGAAGGCUGCUAAACUGAAGGAAAAGUACGAAAAGGAUAUUGCUGCAUACCGAGCUAAAGGGAAGCCUGACGCAGCAAAAAAGGGAGUCGUCAAGGCUGAAAGACAUUUUGCAAUCUGAUCUCUCCCUGCAUUUUUGGAUAUGUAAAUUGGCUGCCAGCUUAAUUUUUGGCACCUCCAUCUUAAAUGCACUGUCACUCUUCUCAGAAUGCCUUUUGUCAGACCUUGUCAUAUGAUGAACCCCUGUACAUUCUCUGUGAUACAGUUCCAUUGUCAUACAUGGUGAAGUUUUUCCUGAUUCUUCUAAAACUCACAACUUUGUCAUAAACAAUCGCAAUAAUAAUUGUCUUCAUCUUCCUCACCUCAUCAUCGUUGAGAUUUCAUCUUCUACCUUUGGCAACUGCCUUUCAUGUCACCAUAGUGAGGUCUUUUUUGUGCUUCUAACAUUGGGAGAGAGUCACUCUAUUUGGUUCCCACAUUUACUGUGAAAAGUUGGUGGGAAUGCUCCCCCCACUUGUGUUGCAUUCUCUUCCAAUUUAUGCAUUGAUUACAAGCAGAAUUUACCUCUUAUCCCUUCAGUAAUAAGGCCUUAUCCCAUGACUUACCGUUCCUCACAGACCUUCUCCUCUUGUGAACCAGCUUAAGCUCUCUGGGACUGGAAUAUGUACCAAUCUGAGUGACUGGCACUGUGCCCUUCUUAAAAGUAUUUCUUUUCCCCACAUGUUUAACCAUUGUCCAGAGUCAAAACUUGUACAAUGUAUCUCCCUUUUUCAAGGUAUAUAGCCUAAGGCAUUAAAGAGAGGCCCUUAUCCUUGAUAGUUUAACAGUUUAGGAGUCUUAGUUCUGCAGGUUCAUUCUUGUGUCCACUUAUUAGCACCUUACAUGGAUCCCUGGGCUCCUCACUCCACCACUAUAUCUUCACGGGCUGCGAAGACCCAACUUAGGUCUUCCUUCUGCAACUUUGUUGUAUUAAAGAAAAAUUUCACCCAACCAGCUAAACCAGCAAAGAAGACUUUAUACAAGACAACUGCAAUAGGGGAGAGAGAUUAUUGUAAUAGGAGAAAGAUUAUUGUAUUAGUUGAGCUUGAAUUCAACUCCACUGAAAUAAAAGGCAGGAGUGUUUUUAAGUGCUGAGUUGAGCUAGUGGAAAAGUACUGGAAGACACUAGUGGGGAGAUUGGUCAAUGUGAUUAGGCCAUCUGUAUCUGCUAAUCAGUGCUUACGGAAGUUAGGCUCCUACCUUCACACCGAGACUGGAAAUAAGGAUGCUAUCUUUCUUGAUGGUUACAUUUCAAAGGGAUAGUUCCCUUGUCCUGGAGAAAGAAAGACAUUCCUGGGUUAUAGAAGAUUUAUAUCUCAAAGGGGCAGAGGAAAAAAUUAUAAAUGACAGUUUUCUAAAGUAAAUUCUCUAAGGAAAGGGAGGUCAGGAGACUAUAGUCAGGAAGAAACCUGUCUAAAGUUUAGUCAAACAGUUUGAAGUCCAUCUUGGUCAUAUGGAUAAGCAUAAUCUAAAAGGUAAAUAAUGACCCACUUAACUUGCUUUCAUGUGGCUUUUCAUAUUCCAUCAAUAACAGUGAAAUGGGUUGUGCAGUAGGGCAGGUACCAUUGUUAAUACAAUUUAUAUAUAUUUAGCCUAAUAAUAUGCUACAAUUGUGAAUAAUUUCCCUCUUACGUUAUAUCCUUUUGAGGAGAAAUGAAAAAACACUUCAAAAUAAAUGCUUUGUAAUUAUCACUCUUUUCUUCCUUCUGACUCUAUUUAUUAUAAGGUGAAUGCAUUUAUCACACAGGCAAAUAUUUUUGGUUUGAUUGAUUUGUAUUAUUGCUUUCUCUUUCCUGUGGAAGUACCCAUUAGGGUAAGUUUUUUUUGCAGCAUAGAAAAUAGUAAUUUAGCACCCUAGCCGGGUUGUUCCUAGAAUAAAUGAAUCAUACUAAACCAGAAGGCAUAUAAGUUAAAAAGAAAGGGUAGCAGUCAGUAAGGCAACACAAAGAGAUCAUAGUUCACCGUCACCAUCUUUCUAGAAGGUACACUUUCAAGAAUGAUUCUUGACUACAUCAGAUGAUUUUUCUUUUUCGCUUGGUGGAAACGGUGUUUGACUUAGUUUCCCGUGCCUGUUAUGUGAAAUCAAUUUCAUAAAUACAGUUAGUGAUCUCAAGGCAAUACUGAUUUUUAAAUUAUAUUACAUAUAUCAUAAUUAUCAUUGUGACCUGACAUUUUAUAUAAAGUUUGCGUGAAUUGGGGAAGAUAAAGGAAAGAUAGGAGUUCAGUCAGGGUACUGAGUUUGAUCUCGGGUGGCCUUGGCCCGCAGUGGCUUGAAGCAGGGUUUCGGUUCCUGGCCAAAGAUUGGGGUCGGGUCUCGGCAGUGAGAGCACCGAAUCCUAGCCACUAGACCAGUGGUCAGUGACA